CAGUAGCCGCGGUAAAACGUAGGUGGCAAGCGUUGUCCGGAAUUAUUGGGCGUAAAGGGCUCGCAGGCGGUUUCUUAAGUCUGAUGUGAAAGCCCCCGGCUCAACCGGGGAGGGUCAUUGGAAACUGGGAAACUUGAGUGCAGAAGAGGAGAGUGGAAUUCCACGUGUAGCGGUGAAAUGCGUAGAGAUGUGGAGGAACACCAGUGGCGAAGGCGACUCUCUGGUCUGUAACUGACGCUGAGGAGCGAAAGCGUGGGGAGCGAACAGGAUUAGAUACCCCAGUAGUCCCUGUCUCUUAUAC
rnacentral:rRNA from 1 species